UUUCCCAAUAAAGUAACCUGGGAAAGAAAGUUUUUUGCCACUCAACUCUAGACGGAGAAAGAAUGAGGAAGCAGAGAGGUAGUUGGGAGUCUCUAAUGGUGGUUGCCCUCUCUCUGUUCCCUAUGAUUUCCUUUUCCAUUUUGUUGUACUAAUAAACCACCAUUGCUAGAAAAUGGACAUAGAUUGCCCCUUAAACUUGCAACUGUAAAAAAUCCCUUUUUACGGUUUAGGGUUUACUAUCUAAACCCAUAAUCUGCUUCUGCUUCUGCUUCUUCACUUCUUUUACUCCCUUUUCCUAUGGCUAGCUUUUAAUGUGACGGAUGAUGAGGCUGUGAUGAUUACAGGUGUCUUGAGUUGGUUCGGGCAAAUGGAGCGACCCGUAUCUUGGCGGGGCAAACCGGAAGGCAUCUUCGUGGUUGCAACCGGGUCUGCAGCCAUGGCGGUUGGAUUGUCUCCAUGGACUGAUUUUAUCACAGAUAUGGGCCUCAAAAUUUAAAGUGAGAGCUUGUUUGGCUUAGCUGAAUUUAAAGUAGCUUUCCAAGUGCUGAAAAGCACUAUUUAAGAGGUCCAUAUCUUGGCGGGGCGACUCGGAAGGCAUCUCUAUGGUUGCAACUGAGGUCCGCAGCCAUGGAGGUUGCAUUGUCUCUGCUGAUUUUAUCACAGAUCCGAGCCUUAAAAUUGAGGGUUAUAUUUGGCCCUUUUCCGUUUUAGAAAUGGAUGGAGACCGAAAUAGUAAAGUUUUUGCAAACGACCAUCAUAAAUCUACCUUAAGUGAUCGGGCAGUUCGAUGCGCUAAGCUCCCGCCGUGCGCGGGUCCGGUAAGGGCCGGACCACAAAGCUCUAUUGUAUGCAGCCUUAUCUGCAUUAUUGCAAGAGAGGCUAUUUUCACGGGUCGAAAACUUGACCUCCUGUCAUACGAUAACUUUACCAGUUACGUCAAGUAUCACCUCCCUCAAAGAUAAGAGAUCAUUUUUGUAAUUUUCUCCUGAAAAGUGUACACUUUUACAUUCUAUUUUAUCAUUUUCCCGAAAACCUGCUGAAUUAUAUUAUCCUUCAUAUGGAUUAGAUUAGCCAGAAAUGGUGAGAAUGAGGCAACAGAGAAAGUAUGGGAUUUUCUUUAAAGGGUGGUUACCCCUCUCCGUUUCCCCUAUGAUUUACCAUUUCUUUUAACAAACCAACAGCCCUUAAAAAAAGCAAGAGAGAAAGAGAGAUGAUUAACACUUUAAUUUUUGGGUUUCUUUGCAUUUUUGCACCCCUCACGUAUACUCAAAACCCAAUACAAUCAACUAUACUAAAGAUGUAGGAUGAUAAUUAUUUUUACUAUAUCUGGGCUAAACUAAUUGGGGCAUAGAGAUUACCCGACCCGUAUCUUGGCGUGGCACCCGGUAUGGCUUGUGAUUGAGACUCUUCUCUCACAUGCAACCGGUGUUUUGCAGUCAUGGAGUGGUUGUGGCUUCUAUUCUGCCUUAUUGUAACACAUAAUUCAAUAAGGGUGUUCAAAUUUUGAACACCCUUUGCCAGUGGGCUAUGCAAGGGUGUUCAAAGUCUAUAUUUAAUCAAUAACAAGUAAUAUUUUACCUUAUAUAGUAUUAUUUUUGGGCGAAGGAUACCACCCUUGGGCCAACAUAGCUUCGCCCCUGAGCCCGGUGCCCAAAGCAUCCUGCAUUUACGCAGGAUUCGGGGAAGGGCCGACCUCAAGGUGUGUGAUGUAGACUGUAUACCCUAAUGUAAGCAUUAAUUGUUGUUUCCACAGCUCAAACCCGUGACCAAUAGGUUACACAUAUACAACUUUACCGUUGCUCCAAGGCUUCCCUUAUCAUGACACAUUUGAGCCUCAAUUUGCUAGAGACAAUAUUAUCUUUUCGAUGUGGGAGAUAUAGAACUCACAUCCUUUUGAUUACAAUUUGUAAUGUUUUUGCACUCUUAAUGUAUCGCCAAUUUUUGUAUCAGUGACAGCUCAUGAAUCAAGCAUUAGAGUGAAAAUGUGGGAUUUCGCAUUGUGGUCGCUCUCCUCAUAUGAUGAUGAAGCUGUGAUGAUUAAAGGUGUUUAGAGCUGGAUCGGGCAUUGGAACGACCCGUAUCUUGGCAGGGCGACCCGGAAGGCAUCUUCAUGGUAGCAACCGUGGUAUGCAGCCAUGGUGGUUGCAUUGUCUCUGCUGAUUUUAUCACAGAUCUGAACCUCAAAAUUGAGGGGUUUAUUUGGCCCUUUUCCCUUUUAAAAAUGGAAGGAGACCACUUUUGUUAGAUUUUUUGUGUAUAUUAAAGGACCCAUAAACCUCCUCAAAGAUGACGGAUCAUUUUUCUCAAGAGAAGUGUACGCUUUUUACGUACUGUACAGACUACUUGAUCAUUCUUUGGAAAACUUGCUAUAUUACCCUCCAUUUGAAUUGGAUUAGCCCAGAAAUGGAGAGAAUGAAGCAACAGAGUGUAUGGGAUUUUUUUACAAGGGUGGUUGCCCGUCUCUGCUUUGCCUAUGAUUCUCCAACUUUUAAAACAAACCAACAGCCCUUAAAAUAGAAAAAGAGAAAGAGAGAUGAUAGCACUUCAGUUUUCUGGGUUUCUUUGCAUUUUUGCACCCUAAAUGCAUACUCAAAACCCAAUACAUACAACUAUACUGCAACAACUAUGCUACCUUUAGAUCUUAAAGAGGCAGUGAUGAUGAUGUUUCUUAUAUCUGGGCUAACCGAUUUGGCACUGAGAUGACCCAAUCCGUAUCUUGGCGUGGCAAGUCGGUAUGGCCUGUGAUUGAGAGUUGAGACUCUUCCCUCUCACAUGCAAUUGGUGUUGCAGCCAUGGCGUGGUUGGCUUCUCUUUUGCCUUAUCAUAGCAACAAAUCUGAGCCUCAGAUUGCUGAAGAAAAAUAUUGGGUGUGUUUGGUAUGAAGGAAAAUGUUUUCUGAAAAACACUUAUUUUUGGUGUUUGGGAAUAAGCAGAACAUAUUGCCUAAGAGCAUUUAAUGUGACGGAUGAAGAGGCUGUGAUGAUUAAAGGUGUCUAGGGUUGUGUUGGGCAUUGGAGCGAUCCGUAUCUUGGCGGGGCAACCCCGAAGGCUUGUUUGAUAGAGGUCUGCAGCCAUGGCGGUUGCUUUGUUUCCUUUGCCUGAUUUUAUUCUCAGAUCUGAGCCUCAAAAUUGAAGCAAUUACUGCAUUUGUUACCCAGUUAAGUUUAACUGGAGUGUUGAAUAAAACUGUUGUGAAUUAAAAGUUUACACGUUUUACAUACUUCAAGGAUUACUUCUGUUAAGGGUAUACAUUGUGAACCAAAAUAGUAGUCCAACCCGUAUACACUAAGAACUAUUUUGAUCAUUUUCUCGAAAACCUGCUAUAUUAGUAUAGAAAUGGCGAGAAUGAGGCAACAAAGAUUAGGGGAUUUUUUACAAGGGUGGUUGCCCCUCUCUGCUUUGCCUAUGAUUCUCUUUUUUUAAACAAACCAACAGCCCUUAAAAAGAAAGAAGAAAGAGAGAGAGUACUUCAGUUUUUUGGGUUUAUCUGCAUUUUUACACCCCUAAUGGAACUCAAAGACCCAAUACUCACAACUAUACUACACAACAACUAUGCGACUUUCAGAUCUUAAAAGAGGCAGUGAUGAUGAUGAUUCUUUUCUAUUUCUGGGCUAACUAAUUCGGGCAUGGAGAUUACCUGACCCGUAUCUUGGCGUGGCAACUCGGCAUGGCCUGUGGAUGAGACUCUUCUCACACAUGCAACCGGUGUUCAAUGUUUUGCAGCCAUGGCAUGGUUGGCUUCUCUUUUGCCUUUCCAUGACACAAAUCUGAGCCUCAAUUUGAAAAAAAUAUUACCUUUUUGCAUCAUCUUCUAGGGGAUGAGGCUGUGAUGAAAUGUCGAAAGGUGUCCAGAGUUGGUCCGGCAUUGGAGCAGCCCGUAUCCUGGCUGGGCGAUCCGGAAGGCAUGGUUGCAACCAGGUUGCAGCCAUGUCGGUUGCAUUUUCUACAUUGACUGAUUUUAUCACAGAUCUGAGCAUCAAAAUUAAAGUAAAAGCAUGUUUGACUUAGCUGAAUUUAAGUAGCUUUUAAGCGCAUUUUUUAAGAGGAUGUUUGGAUGGGCGUAAAAAAAGCUUGUUUCGGUGUUUGGCUUCGUAGACUUUGUUGCGGUCUAGAAAGAAACAGCUGGGCUACUGGUGAAUGAUUCUGCUCUUCGCACACGCAAGGUGCUCUGCUCUUAUUUCUACACCAUAAACAGAAACUGGAAUACUCAACUCAAGAACAGAAUGAGGCUGCUUAUGGAUGGAAAAUUUCUAAGGGUGUUGCCUCCCAUCAGCAUAUCUGAGCCUCACAUUUUUGUGUCACCUGCAUUUUCUUGUUCAAUACACAUAUUGCACCGGAUUGUUUUUCUUAAUCUUCAGAUGUCGAAUAAAAGAGGCAAUAUAGGGGUCAAAAUGAGUAUUUUUCUCAAGAGAGGUUGUUCAUGUUUAUUUUUUUUUAAAAAAAUCUUUUCUAUGUGAUAAUAGCUUUAAUUUAAAAGAAUCAAUUUUAGUCCUGCAGAGUAGUAACUUUGUUUUACUCUGUCUUUGAUGGCCUUUGUGUGUAUCUUCUGUGUUCCCUUGGCUUUUGAGUUCGAACAGCUUUUGCUUGGAGUACACGUAAAUGGGGCUGUGAUGAUACUUCUAGUACCUUCUUUUCUGGGCCAAUCAAUUUACACGGAGACGACCAGUCCUGUUGGCUUGGCAACUCAAUAUGGUUUGUGUUAAGGUUUCUCUCUCUUAUGCAACCUUUGUUUUGCAGCCAUGAUGUGGUGGGCUUCUCUUUGCCUUGUUCUAAGAUAGAUUUGAGCCUCAAUUUGCUUAGAAAACAAACCUUUUCCUUGGUUCAAUGCAGGGUUGUGAUCUAGCAUGCGGCCUUCAGGUUAUAAAGUUCGAAGAGAAAGCAUUUUGUUGUAGUGUUGCAUCACGCUGGUGUUGAAUUGUUCGUGCGUGUCUGUGUUUUCAAUAAGCAUCAAAACCAGUGUUUCAAGCAAUCAUGCCUCAAUCUUGAAACCAGACCCGGGUCUCUCUCUGUCUUGAGGCUUUGGUCUAGUGGCAAGGAUACAACAGGCGAUGUACAGGUCAUGGGUUUGAAUCUUACCGCAGACAAAAAUGUGGAGAAGGGUAGAUGGGUAGGCUCAUUAUCCAUCCAUAUUUGAGCCGUGCGCCACUAGGCCUCGUGGAUUUCUCGAUCAUCAAAAAACAAUUUUUAAUUGAUCACACAUCUUUCUUUAGUUAUUUCAUCUUACUUGUUCAGAAAUAGACAUGGCCUACUAGCUUGGAUCGUAAUCGUGUGUUUUCAUCCUUUUUCUUAUAUUUACUUUUAUAAAAAAAAUGAAAAGGUGCCUAAAGUUUGUUCA